rnacentral:lncRNA from 1 species
CUAGGCUACCUGCCUCAUCUAACCACUAGACUACCUGCCUCCUCUAACCACUAGGCUACCUGCCUCCUCUAACCACUAGGCUACCUGCCUCCUCUAACCACUAAGCUACCUGCCUCCUCUAACCACUAGGCUACCUGCCUCCUCUAACCACUAGGCUACCUGCCUCCUCCUCUAACCACUAGGCUACCUGCCUCCUCUAACCACUAGGCUACCUGCCUCCUCUAACCACUAGGCUACCUGCCUCCUCUAACCACUAGGCUACCUGCCUCCUCUAACCACUAGGCUACCUGCCACCCCAGGCUCAGGUAAGAGUGGACUCAGCAGAGAGAAUAUGAGACAGAAGGUAGAUAUCUCAGAGCACUUACCCAGAACAGGAAGUAGAUAUCUCAGAGCACUCACCCAGAAGAGGAAGUUGAACAUGAACAUCAGGUAUUUGAUGCAUUUGAAUCCUCCUACGACUCCCAUGGUAAAAUACAACACAGGUUUGGUGGUGGAGAGAAAAUAUCCCCGAGAAGUCUAGUCACAGAAGUUAAAACCCCGACGCUUCCCAGAGUAGUCUAGUCACAGAGUUAAAAACCCGACGCUUCCCAGAGUAGUCUAGUCACAGAGUUAAAAACCCUGACGCUUCCCAGAGUAGUCUAGUCACAGAGUUAAAAACCCUGACGCUUCCCAGAGUAGUCUAGUCACAGAGUUAAAAACCCGACGCUUCCCAGAGUAGUCUAGUCACAGAGUUAAAAACCCGACGCUUCCCAGAGUAGUCUAGUCAUAGAGUUAAAACCCCGACGCUUCCCAGAGUAGUCUAGUCACAGAGUUAAAACCCCGACGCUUCCCGAAGUAGUCUAGUCACAGAGUUAAAAACCCGACGCUUCCCAGAGUAGUAUAAUCACAGAGUUAAAAACCCGACGCUUAUUUAAAAGACAAAGAUAGUGAGUGAAAGAACGCGAGCGAGCGAGAGAGAGAGAGGUCUGUGGAGAAUUCCUGAGCCACACCCUGCAACCUCACUUGUUCUUUGUUAGUCAGUCGGUGAAGCAGGAUGGGAGGGGCUCCGCUAAAGCUUAC